rnacentral:lncRNA from 1 species
CACUGUUAAGUGCAAAGAGAGAGCUUUUCUAGUCUGCGCCUAAUAAAAAAUUAUCAUUAUUAUUAUUGUUAUUACAAUCAUUAUCAUUAUUAUGAUCAUUUGAUUGUGUGGAAAGUUGAGUUUUAGCCAAAGUAUUUACUUCUAUAGAUAAAGAUAUUUGAAGCUCGAUUUGGCGUCCUCUUAGUUAAAGAAAUUUUAGGGAUUGGCUAUGCAAAGUUUGUUUUCAAUAGGACGUGUCAUCUGGGUUGCGAGGUUGUUGGAUUCCUUGUUUUGUUAAACAUGACUAAGAAUCGCAUCCAUCUGGUUUUUAUGAAUGAAAACAAAUCAGUUUAGGGUUCUUUGGAUUCCUUUUUUUUAUUAGUCACAGCUGGACUUUUGUCUCGUGUUCGACUAAUCAGUGAGCGAUACUCCUGUAAAAGAUAAAUUAGUUCCACUUAGCAACAGCGUAGGCACUUUUAUUUUGUUAACCAAUUAAUGGUCGGAAGAUAUGCAAAUUAGCUAAAAGGUACAUUGUAAAUAGGUAUCUAGAAAGACUGUUGAAGGUGAAAGAUUGAAGGUCUUAAUGAUGCAAGGCGUAGUGAUACGGUUAGGUUGGUGAUGUGAGCAGAAUACCUGUAGCAUCGGGCAGGUUAUCGGGAUUCAUUCCUCCUUGAGCUUGCAUCAGCGUAGCAUCACAUUUUGUGGGUGAAAGUUCGUUGCCGGUGAUUCCCAACACUUUAGAUCUUCCGAAGUGUGGUACGUACAUUUAAUUUGAAAUGUUAUUUGUACUGGUAGUGAAUGUUAGUCAUAUUAGAGUAUCAGGAUGGAAUUAUUUGGUGACAAGACUCACUGAUUUCCAAACAAGUAUUAUUAAGUAACACAGAUUUGUAUAUGUGGGACAUGUACACAAACAUGUUAGAUUUGGAAAGGUCUGUGGUAUGAAUUGUUUAGUUAAAAAUUAUGAAAGAGCUAUUGAGCAUAUUGUGAUUAAUGAGUUAUGGCUCUUGAGACAUGAGGAUUGAUAUAAUUUUAGGACAAUUGUUAUAGUAAUUUCAAUUAUGGAUAAAUAACUGGAAUGGUUAGUUGUCUUAUUUUCAGUCUCUAAUGUUAACUGGUGGAUUUUAUCAAGUUGAAACUGAUAGAAGUCUUUAUCUUGAUACAGAGAAAAUUAUUUUAAUGGAAUGCUAGCAUGAAAAAAGUAAUAUAAGUAUGUAAGACGAGUUAGUAAUUUUGGAUUUGUUCUUUGUUUAACAGCAGUACAAGUAAUUUCUACACUGGAACUGAAUCCAGCCAGUGUGGAGUGUUGGUUUACGAUCACGUGACGAGUGGGUGUUGAUCCUGGGGUUUUUUCUUUUAUGUUUGUCUUGUGAUGGACAAAUAAAAGACAAGUGAACAUGAAUCUGUUGUGCCCCUUGUACUUCUUGGAAGUGACCUAUUCCGAACUACGACAAUUGUUUACUCAUGUAGAGAGAUCUAGAGAGUAUCAGGUCCAGACCAAGAUUGUACCAUUAAUGAAAUUUUUUGUACAGAUCUGCAUUUACUAAGUCUAGAUCUAUAAAAUUGUGGGUACUGUGUGAGAUCAUUAUUUAGAUCUAGGUCGUUUAGAUUUACUAUACCUAUACUAUACUAUACUAUUUGCUAUACCCAAUUAUCAUUACUGUGAUAUAUCUUAAUUGCUCCAACUUUAAAUUGUUGGACAUCUUGUUUGAUCAUUGCUCAAGGAUUAUAUAGUUAUGUGUUUCAAUUUUUACAAAUUUGAAAUGACGUACAUCUAUUAUGAUGCACUGUCUUGUAGAUAUAUUUUCCAUUAAAUUGCACCACAUUGAAAGUUAUUUGUAAUUGCAUGUAUUUACGUAGAGUGCCAUCAAUAUUCCACGCAAGUCUUAACAUAAUUAUUAAUAAUGGUUAAAUACCAAUGUUCUAUUUGCAGUACGGCGGUAAAAAAAUAAAAGGCAUUAUUAUGUAUUGGAUGUUCCUAAUGGGUGCAUAUAUCUUGUGCCCAAGUCCUAAAAAGACUUAUGAUUCAGAUGUACUCUUUGAAAACUGGCUCUGUCCUAUGUGCUUGAUGCAACAUCUACCCUUUUGGAAUAAUGUUUUUUAAGUAAAAGGAAAAAUAAAAUGCAGUGAGAUGUUAGCAAGUACAUGUAUUAAAGAGUCGAAUAGCAAUUUCAAAUUAAACACAAUUAAAUGCAUCAAACUUGCACAUCUCAAUGUAAGGAGUCUGGUAAAUAAGGUUGCUGAUGUACCAAAUUUGCUUAGUAAAAAUUAUUAUGAUAUAUUCAGUUUGUCUUAAACACGGUUGUCACAUGAAUAUUCUGAUAGUUUAUAUUCUGUUAAAGAAUAUAAGAAGAGAUAGGGGGCCCCCAUGGAGGAGGAAUGGGGUGUUACAUAUCUGAAAAUAAAGAUCUUGGACCUGUAACAUUAUUGUGGCCUCGAAUCGCUGCGUGCUAAUGGCAACGCACUUUUAGUUGGUAUAUUGUAUAGGAAACCUGAUAAUCACUUAAGAAUUCUUUGAGAGUUUUGAAUAAUAUCUUGAGAAAGUGUUUGCAAAGUCAUGUAAUGUUAUCACGUUAACUGAUAAUAAUCUGUCAAAAAAGUUUUUUAAAAUCUAUGUAUGACCGAGCAGAUGACACAGGUUAUAUUUGAACCCACGAGAGUUACGCCUAACAGUCAAUCACUUAUUGAUUCAAUUUAUAUUUCUGACUCAUUUAGUGAAAGUGUCAUUAAACCAGGUGUACAAAUAACAGGUUUAAGUGAUCACUAUGUAAUAUUUACUGUCAUUAAAGGAAAAUAUAAAAUAAAUAAAACCAAUAAAUAAAUAACUCAUUUUAAGGGGAUUACAUUGGAAUUAUGUUUAAUAUUCAAUUUGAUCCCCGAAGAAGAAGUGAGCCCGUUUCAUAAAGACUUGUAAUAAUAACAAAUACACAUUUUUUGUUUAGAAAAAAUACCAGCCAACCAGAAAAUUGUAGUACCAUUCAUUAUCGCAAAUUUAUGACACACGCCCCAGCUGUACCAUUAUCGAUACGGCUUAAAAUCGGUUUAUCCAAC